rnacentral:rRNA from 1 species
UACGGGGGGGGCAAGCGUUGUUCGGAAUUACUGGGCGUAAAGGGCUCGUAGGCGGCCAACUAAGUCGGACGUGAAAUCCCUCGGCUUAACCGGGGAACUGCUUCCGAUACUGGAUGGCUUGAGUGUGGGAGAGGGAUGCGGAAUUCCAGGUGUAGCGGUGAAAUGCGUAGAUAUCUGGAGGAACACCGGUGGCGAAGGCGGCAUCCUGGACAGUGACUGACGCUGAGACGCGAAAGCGUGGGGAGCAAACAGG